GAUGAACGCUAGCGGGAGGCCUAACACAUGCAAGCCGAGCGGUAUUUGUCUUCGGAACAGAGAGAGCGGCGUACGGGUGCGUAACACGUGUGCAACCUACCUUUAUCAGGGGGAAUAGCCUUUCGAAAGGAAGAUUAAUACUCCAUAAUAUAUUGAAUGGCAUCAUUCGAUAUUGAAAACUCCGGUGGAUAAAGAUGGGCACGCGCAAGAUUAGAUAGUUGGUGAGGUAACGGCUCACCAAGUCAAUGAUCUUUAGGGGUCCUGAGAGGGAGAUCCCCCACACUGGUACUGAGACACGGACCAGACUCCUACGGGAGGCAGCAGUGAGGAAUAUUGGACAAUGGGUGAAAGCCUGAUCCAGCCAUCCCGCGUGAAGGAUGACGGUCCUAUGGAUUGUAAACUUCUUUUGUAUAGGGAUAAACCUAGAUACGUGUAUCUAGCUGAAGGUACUAUACGAAUAAGCACCGGCUAACUCCGUG
rnacentral:rRNA from 1 species